UGUGUGUGUGUGUCAUCUAUAAGAAUCUGCCUUGUUGUCGCUCCAUUAAAUAUCCUUAUUUGAAUCCUUGUUGUCCUCGUUAUCCUGCCUGCCUCCACACACCUGGAC